GGAAUAUUGGUCAAUGGAGGCAACUCUGAACCAGCCAAGUAGCGUGCAGGAAGACGGCCCUAUGGGUUGUAAACUGCUUUUGCCGGGGAAUAAUUGCCAUUACGUGUAAUGGUUUGCAUGUACCCGGAGAAUAAGGACCGGCUAAUUCCGUGCCAGCAGCCGCGGUAAUACGGAAGGUCCGGGCGUUAUCUGGAUUUAUUGGGUUUAAAGGGAGCGCAGGCUGAUUGGUAAGCGUGUUGUGAAAUGUACCGGCUCAACCGGUGAAUUGCAGCGUGAACUGCCGAUCUUGAGUUCACUCGAGGGAUGCGGAAUUCGUGGUGUAGCGGUGAAAUGCUUAGAUAUCACGAAGAACUCCGAUUGCGAAGGCAGCGUCCCAGUGUGUUACUGACGCUAAAGCUCGAAAGUGCGGGUAUCGAACA
rnacentral:rRNA from 1 species